rnacentral:lncRNA from 1 species
GAAGAGGAAACAUCAGCUGUCUCGGUCUCCAGGUCAGUAACAGAGUAUAUUAUCUGAAUGAUCGCAAAUGAUAUGGGGAAACUAAUGACAGUUUGCUGUUAAGAUGCCCAAAAUCUUGUUCUCAGUUUUUAAGUAGUAACAAAUGGGAUAUGGGUUUUCUAACUAUUAAAUAUUUACACCUUAUUCUUUACUCUUAAAAAUACAUUUUGAUACUUUUGACUUCAGAACAAGAAGACAUGAAAAGCAUCAAUGUGAAUGUGGAAAUAACUAUAAAGUGAUCUAAUGCAUAUCUAAAUUCCUUGAAAUCUUCAAACCUCAUUAUGCAUCAUUGAAUUAUUCAAUUUUUUUUCUGUGUGAUCAGAACUGAUCAGAGACUGAAGGAGAGUAGAGGCUGUGAUGCUGUCAUGAGAAAUAUGUAAAUUGAAAUCUAAUGAAAAAAAUUACACAACUCUUAACAGACGAAGAUUCCUUAGAUUAGGUUUAUUCAUAGUAUUCACAGUAGAUGUCUUUUGUUUAAUGAUUUUUUUUUUUAUUCUUGUUUUUAAACACUUCCAAUUCAGACCAAAAGCCAUAUACAAAAAAAUGAAAAUGCUUACCAACCUAAGAAUAAAUUUAAAAUGUGUUUUGAAAAAAAUAAUAAUAAGACUGUGAGUUAAAUAAUAUUGGGGAUACAAAUUGUCUCUUAUGAUAUGUUAGAAAUUCAGUGUAAUGAAGAAGCUGUUGUUGUGUACAGGUGAAUCAAUAGGUUUACCGCUUUUAUGAUCUAGAUAGUAUAGAGACAGUCCUCAUUAACAUACAGCUGACUCUUUAUCUGCCCAAACUACACCCCCUCCUCCUUCUCCCCUUUUAACAAGCACAUGAAAGGUCCUCUAUGUGCCUGGAUUUAAUGAGAGACACGCGACUCAACAAUAAGGCCAUAUUGUAAUCAGGCAUCGAGUUUUAGUGGCACACGCCACCCCUAAGCCAGGUGUCUGCAGGCAGUAACCUUCCUAUCUUUAAAUUGAUAACUGACAAAUACAAAGUUCAAAAGAGAUUACAUGCUUAAUUAAUCUAUAUAAAACCAGUCCUGUUUACAGAAUCAUUAUUCCUCCCUUGUAUCAUUGGAGUAAUUUAAGCUUUUCCUAUCAAUGAAAACUUUGGUUAAUAUUUUAUUAUUAAAUUCACAUAUAUAUGUGGAAUAUUUUUAUGGAUAUAUUUUGCAAUAUAAAAAUAUAUUUAUAUAUUUAAACAAAUACAUGAUACUGUUCUUUAAAUAAAAAUACUAUCGAGAGAGAGAGAUCGAAAGAGAGAGAAAGAAAUGUAUUCUAUUGCCAUACAAGAAAUACACUUAAAUCUACAAUAUCAUAAGAUAGAAUAAACAGUGUCUGUGGAAUGGCUACAUGCAAGGGGAAAAAAAACAAUGUUGCUUUUAAUUUUUGGAAGUAGUGCCUGAUUGUAGGAAAUAUUCUAAUAUGAUUGUUGUAAAUAUCCCAACAGAUGCUGGUCUUUGUCAUAAUCAGAUAGGCACGUCGGUGGUCACUGCAGCAGAAGGGCAUUAUAUUCCGAGUUGGAGUUCUACGGAAGAUGAAGGGGGUGGUGUCAUAUGAAAAACACACAAGCAUAAUGAGCGUUCGAUAGAAAGCAGCACCACUAUAUAAGUAGCUAGGAGGAACCCAAGCUCUCCAUUUGCUAAGCGUACACUGAAUAAGGAGUAUUCAAAGAACAAACACUCCAAAUUAAAGAACAAUUCAUUCCGCCCAGGAGUUACUAUAUUGUUGGGACCAUUUGUUCUCGAGCAAACUUCAUAUGGCCGGAUGCUGGAUUUAUCACUAGAAAGGGCAUGUUUUACCAACUGGAUUACACCUCUGCCUUUUUGGUGCUCCAGACUGCGUUUCAUUGAAUGAUCAUCGUCUACUCAAUACCUGAGAUUGAAUUUCAAUUUAAAAAAAUAAUAAAAUAAAUUAGAGGAGC